rfam:Salmo salar isolate Sally breed double haploid chromosome ssa19, whole genome shotgun sequence.
CCAAAAGCUCUUUUAAGAGUUACCCACAUUGCACUAAGAGUACUCU